rnacentral:misc_RNA from 1 species
UUAGAUUUGAUUUUUGUUUCUUUGGCUCGAUCGGCUGAUGAUAAGAUGGGGCAUGGAUGGUGUUAUAUAUUUUUUAUUUAUCCUUUAUUUACUUCUCUUAAUGUUUGUCUUAAUUUAUUUGGUUAUUUGGUUUAAUCUGUAAAGCAAAUUUUCCAUUUUUUAAAAGGAGGUUUUUGUUCUUGUUUCAAUUUGUUAAAAGUUUUUUUUUUUAAAGAAAAAAAA